GGGGAAUUUUGCGCAAUGGGGGAAACCCUGACGCAGCGACGCCGCGUGCGGGAUGAAGGCCUUCGGGUUGUAAACCGCUGUCGUACGGGACGAACCCCCGGUGGAUGAAUAAGCCAUCGGGCUGACGGUACCGUGCAAGAAAGCCCCGGCUAACUCCGUGCCAGCAGCCGCGGUAAUACGGAGGGGGCUCGCGUUGUUCGGAAUUACUGGGCGUAAAGCGCGCGUAGGCGGCUUUGUAAGUUAGAGGUGAAAGCCCAGGGCUCAACCCUGGAAUUGCCUUUAAGACUGCAUCGCUAGAAUCAUGGAGAGGUUAGUGGAAUUCCGAGUGUAGAGGUGAAAUUCGUAGAUAUUCGGAAGAACACCAGUGGCGAAGGCGACUAACUGGACAUGUAUUGACGCUGAGGUGCGAAAGCGUGGGGAGCAA
rnacentral:rRNA from 1 species